GGAAAGAAGAGAGACACUCAAUUGAUCCGUCGCCGCUUUGCGGCCUCAAAGAAAAAAAUUUUGGGGGUACCCUUUGUGGAGGCGACAUAAAGAGGCGACGCAAGCCGUCGGACGGGGCAGACGGGCGGGCGAGGGCACUGGCGCCGCCGCCGACGGCAAAUGGAGGCCGACCUUUUUUCUGGGGCGACGCCUUUGCAGACAGACGGGAAAAGAAAGAGGAAAAUCCAAAAGAAAAAAGAGACGCCAAGAGCGCCCAAGAUCCAAGAGAGGAAAAAAGGCGGCAGCGACAGCGCGGCGAUGUGCAAUACGGAUCGUGUUUGUUGGCGGGCCGACAAAAUCGCGCGACGACAACAUGGCAUGGGUCGGCGGGCGACGCGCGAGCGCCACCAACAAAUCGAGCGGCAAAAUUUGCGAGGUACCAGGAUAUGUGUAGGAAAAAACCGGUAUAGAUCUGGUCAUUUUACUAUGUGAAAAACCGGGAUAAAUCGAGACAUGAAAAAAGGUCAUAUUUUGCGGCGGCGGUGUCGUC
rnacentral:lncRNA from 1 species